rnacentral:rRNA from 1 species
GACGAACGCUGGCGGCGUGCUUAACACAUCCUUUUCGAACGGAAAGGCCCUGCUUUUGUGGGGUGCUCGAGUGGCGAACGGGUGAGUAACACGUGAGUAACCUGCCCUUGACUUUGGGAUAACUUCAGGAAACUGGGGCUAAUACCGGAUAGGAGCUCCUGCUGCAUGGUGGGGGUUGGAAAGUUUCGGCGGUUGGGGAUGGACUCGCGGCUUAUCAGCUUGUUGGUGGGGUAGUGGCUUACCAAGGCUUUGACGGGUAGCCGGCCUGAGAGGGUGACCGGCCACAUUGGGACUGAGAUACGGCCCAGACUCCUACGGGAGGCAGCAGUGGGGAAUAUUGCACAAUGGGCGGAAGCCUGAUGCAGCAACGCCGCGUGCGGGAUGACGGCCUUCGGGUUGUAAACCGCUUUCGCCUGUGACGAAGCGUGAGUGACGGUAAUGGGUAAAGAAGCACCGGCUAACUACGUGCCAGCAGCCGCGGUGAUACGUAGGGUGCGAGCGUUGUCCGGAUUUAUUGGGCGUAAAGGGCUCGUAGGUGGUUGAUCGCGUCGGAAGUGUAAUCUUGGGGCUUAACCCUGAGCGUGCUUUCGAUACGGGUUGACUUGAGGAAGGUAGGGGAGAAUGGAAUUCCUGGUGGAGCGGUGGAAUGCGCAGAUAUCAGGAGGAACACCAGUGGCGAAGGCGGUUCUCUGGGCCUUUCCUGACGCUGAGGAGCGAAAGCGUGGGGAGCGAACAGGCUUAGAUACCCUGGUAGUCCACGCUGUAAACGGUGGGUACUAGGUGUGGGGUCCAUUCCACGGGUUCCGUGCCGUAGCUAACGCUUUAAGUACCCCGCCUGGGGAGUACGGCCGCAAGGCUAAAACUCAAAGGAAUUGACGGGGCCCCGCACAAGCGGCGGAGCAUGCGGAUUAAUUCGAUGCAACGCGUAGAACCUUACCUGGGUUUGACAUGGAUCGGGAGUGCUCAGAGAUGGGUGUGCCUCUUUUGGGGUCGGUUCACAGGUGGUGCAUGGCUGUCGUCAGCUCGUGUCGUGAGAUGUUGGGUUAAGUCCCGCAACGAGCGCAACCCUUGUUCACUGUUGCCAGCACGUUAUGGUGGGGACUCAGUGGAGACCGCCGGGGUCAACUCGGAGGAAGGUGGGGAUGACGUCAAGUCAUCAUGCCCCUUAUGUCCAGGGCUUCACGCAUGCUACAAUGGCUGGUACAGAGAGUGGCGAGCCUGUGAGGGUGAGCGAAUCUCGGAAAGCCGGUCUCAGUUCGGAUUGGGGUCUGCAACUCGACCUCAUGAAGUCGGAGUCGCUAGUAAUCGCAGAUCAGCAACGCUGCGGUGAAUAAAUUCCCGGGGCU